CAACAAAGCUUCGGAGAGAACAGGUGGAGGCAAGUACUUGUCGAGACUUGAACCCAGGACAUAGCUUUGAUUUGCUGUCCCCAUUGCCUGAGAUAUUUGACUGUUGGGUCAACUUACUCUGAAGAUGACUGAGCAGGACUGCAAGUUAC